rnacentral:rRNA from 1 species
AUUGAACGCUGGCGGCAGGCCUAACACAUGCAAGUCGAACGAGUGGCGGACGGGUGAGUAAUGUCUGGGAAACUGCCUGAUGGAGGGGGAUAACUACUGGAAACGGUAGCUAAUACCGCAUACCAUCGGAUGUGCCCAGAUGGGAUUAGCUAGUAGGUGGGGUAACGGCUCACCUAGGCGACGAUCCCUAGCUGGUCUGAGAGGAUGACCGGCCACACGGGAACAGAGACACGGUCAAGCAGCCUACGGGAGGAAGAAGUGGGGAAGUGGGGAACAGGGGCGAAAGCCUGAUGCAGCCAGGCCGCGUGUAUGAAGAAGGCCUGCGGGUUGUAAAGUACUUUAAGCGGGGAGGCGUUACCGGCAGAAGAAGCACCGGCUAACUCCGUGCCAGCAGCCGCGGUAAUAC